rnacentral:lncRNA from 1 species
CUCACAGGUUCUUCUCUUUUUCCCCUGGUGGGGAGAUAUAAACAUGGUUGGCAUAAUGGCAGAGGGACUUCUCAGAGAAAAACAAUAUGUCUCUUUUUUUUUUAAUAGCUCUACAUCAGAAUUUCUUUCAAAUUGUAGGGGAAUUCUUCACUUAUUUAGUGUCACGUAUAGCUAAUAUUUUUUCAUUUUUCAUAAAAGGCUAAUAAAACCCAUGUGGUUAAAUAAUUGGUUUUCAGGAUUGCUUCUGUGAUGGGUGUUUGUCUUUAUUCCAUCACAAACUGUCAUACUGUGCCUGUUACUCUGCUGUGUUACUGUGAGGAGGAGCUCAGUACAGUUGAACCAGAUGCAGUUGCACAGAAUAUAUCACUUCCCAAGAGUAAUUAAUUUGGCCACUAUGAUGUUUAUCUUGCUUUAGUCUGAUUUUUUUUUUUCCCAGCUUUGGCUUUCAUUAGUGUGCUGUCCUCCCUUGUCUGUCACCUGCCAGAAGACAGCACCAUUUUUCUGUGGGUUUGGAGGGGAGCUGCCAUAGGCUGCAUUCUGGUUUGUUCCUGGGCAAGUGCCUGACCAUGAAACAGUCACACUGCACAGCUCCCCAUGUGCACCAUUUAUAGAAGGACCAAGGGCUGCAGCUUGUCCUGCAGUCCUAACAGAGAUCAAGCUGUUACAAGGCCACGUAUACCAAGUAUGCAGAGAGCAGCAUGCUGCAUAUCGGGUAUCUCUGACAGCUGGCAGCAUCCUUGGAGUACAUGCAUAGCACCAAUAGCACAAGGACAAACCCAAAGGCUUUGAAAUGUUUCAUGAGGUUUGCUCAUAUGUUAUGUUUUCU